rnacentral:rRNA from 1 species
GAUGAACGCUGGCGGCGUGCCUAAUACAUGCAAGUCGAGCGAAGCGGGGACGGGUGAGUAACACGUGGAUAACCUCCUAUAAGACUGGGAUACCUUCUGGAAACCGUAGCUAAACCGGCUACUUAUAUAUGGUUCCGCGCUGCAUUAGCUAGUUGGUAAGGUAACGGCUUACCAAGGCAACGAUGCAUAGCCGACCUGAGAGGGUGAUCGGCCACACUGGAACUGAGACACGGUCCAGACUCCUACGGGAGGCAGCAGUAGGGAAGCUUCCGCAAUGGGCGAAAGCCUGACGGAGCAACGCCGCGUGAGUGAUGAAGGUCUUCGGAUCGUAAAACUCUGUUAUUAGGGAAGCGGUACCUAAUCAGAAAGCCACGGCUAACUACGUGCCAGCAGCCGCGGUAAUUC